rnacentral:rRNA from 1 species
UACGAAGGUGGCUAGCGUUGUUCGGAUUUAUUGGGCGUAAAGGGUCCGCAGGCGGUUUGAUAAGUCAGGUGUGAAAUCCCACAGCUUAACUGUGGACACGCACUCGAUACUGUCAGACUAGAGUAUGAGAGGGGUAAGAGGAAUUUCCAGUGUAGGGGUGAAAUCCGUAGAUAUUGGAAAGAACACCGGCCGCGAAGGCGUCUUACUGGCUCAUUACUGACGCUCAGGGACGAAAGCCAGGGGAGCAAACGGG